AGUGAACGCUGGCGGUAGGCCUAACACAUGCAAGUCGAACGGCAGCACAGUAAGAGCUUGCUCUUACGGGUGGCGAGUGGCGGACGGGUGAGGAAUACAUCGGAAUCUACUUUUUCGUGGGGGAUAACGUAGGGAAACUUACGCUAAUACCGCAUACGACCUACGGGUGAAAGCAGGGGAUCUUCGGACCUUGCGCGAUUGAAUGAGCCGAUGUCGGAUUAGCUAGUUGGCGGGGUAAAGGCCCACCAAGGCGACGAUCCGUAGCUGGUCUGAGAGGAUGAUCGGCCAAACUGGAACUGAGAAACGGUCCAGACUCCUACGGGAGGCAGCAGGGGGGAAUUUUGGACAAUGGGCGCAAGCCUGAUCCAGCCAUCCCGGGUGGGUGAAGAAGGCCUUCGGGUUGUAAAGCCCUUUUGUUGGGAAAAAAAAGCAGCAGGUUAAUACCCCGCUGUUCUGACGGUACCCAAAAAAUAAACACCGGCUAACUUCGU
rnacentral:rRNA from 1 species